rnacentral:lncRNA from 1 species
AUAUGUAAUGCACAAGAAUUUUGCCUAUAAAUAGAGUCAAUUUAACUUCUCUUAAAUAUAGGAGAACACAAAAUACAAGUUCUUGAAAAAUUCACAAAAAUAUAUCAAACAAGAGAGUUUAUUAGUUGAAGGUAGGUGUUUAUUUUGUGGAGUUUUGAACUCAAUUCUUGUCCAGAGUUGUUGAGUUAUUGAGAUUAGACUGUUGUAUCCUGGAGGAAACAAGUCAAGGAGUGUUACUGCUGGGCGGGAGAAACAAUUGACGCAGUGGGCUUGAAUCUCCUUAAAGAGAGCGAGAUAUCCGCGCAUCAGCCAUAGAAGAAGAAAUAUUUUUCUUUAUUCAUUUGUAAUUUUUUCAGUUGUAAUUUAUUGUAAUUUCACCAACAUGGUAUGUUCUAUGUACUUACGCCAUAUUUAGGUGCUCAGUUUUGUGAUCAGAUGCUCCAGCAGGCUCUAUCUUCUUAGUUUUGCUUGUACCCUCUUUACUUUUGAAGGGCCUGGUCUGCAAAUUUGUCCAGUAGUUAUGUUUGUUUAAAUAAAGGUAGACUGGGAUCCUUGUCCCAGUAGUCAAUACUUGUACUUAGCUUAGAAGCUUCAUACAGAGAUGGUUGAUCAAUUAGUUCCGACAUAUGAUCAAAUUUCGGUUUGACUUUUAAGUCAUAUUAAUAGAAGUAUUUUACUUUACUUUAAAUAUUGUAUCUUACUAUAUGCUUUCAAAUCUUCCGUUUAUCUUUCAAUGUUAGUUCUAAUAGUAUUCCAGAACAAGAAUACGCUCUAUCCAGCAAUGACAUCUGAUCCUAGCCACACCUAGUGUGUAGGCUCGAGGUGUGACACGCCACACCUUUGCUUUGAAGGAGUUGUGUAAAGCAGUGAAGCUUUUGCCUUGGAAGCAUGGUGCGGCCAAGGUCUGCUUGAAGAAUGUAGCUUUGACUAUUGCAUCACUCCUUUGUUUUGCAGAAGUGGUGCAAAAUAGAGCUUUCCUAGGCUGAGUUAGAUUUGAUUUUAUUUAAUUCCUAGACGUCUAAAACUAUAUAAAUAGUAGUGUUUAUAUGAGAAAUAGGGGUGGACAGUUUUUAAGCGUGGACUUAGGGCAAACAUUCUAUUCCUUCCAGUUUAUUUCUUUCUUAAUUCUUUUCAAUAUUUUUAUAGCUUCUAUGAAUCUUUUCUUAUUGUAAUCUAAUGUGUAGCUAAACGACCCAGUUCUUGGGUUUUGGACUGAACAUGAUGUUUUAAGUGUAUUAAUUUUCAAUUUUUUUAUUUCUUGUGAUAUUGAAGAAUUCCAGCUUGAUAGCUCGCAAUCAUGGCGA